GGGUUAGGGUUUCCCCGCCCCGCCCGCCGCCGCCGUUCCCGGCCAGCGCCGACGCCAUUCUCCGCGACCGCCGUCCCUAUCGUCCUGACGCGCUCCAUUCCCGUCCUCUGCCCCGUCCCAGGAGGUCGUCUGCGAGCUCGCGCUCGUCCGUCGAGGCGCCGCCGUCCCUGUCCUCCUCCCGCUCGGGCCGUCCCUGUCCUCCUCCAGCUCGGGCCGUCCCCGUCCUUCUCAAGGUCACCGCCGUCCUAGGAGGUCGACGCCAAGCUUGACCCGUCCCCGUCCAUGUCCCUGUAGGUCGGGGUGCCGGCGUCCUUGUCCUCGUCCAGCUCGUGCCGCCCUCGUCUCCUAGGCCAGGGAGGAGAUGGGCGCCGACGGCUUGGCCCCUGGGGCGGCCGACUUCGAGCUGAUGCUGCGCGCCUUCGGCGACCGCUGCCAGUUCGACGCCGCCGACGAGGCGUUCGACGAAAUGCUCCUGCGUGGGCUCGUGCCGGGCGUGGCCUCGUGCCGGGCGUGGCCUCGUACAACGUGUACGUCGCCGCGCUGUGGAAAAACCUGAUGUGCAAAACUGCUCAGCUUGGCCUCCUCGCACGCCCGUGUCUGGUCGUCACCGUCGCCGGUCAGCAGCUCCACGUCCGUAUUCUGGAAAUAGUACUAGCAUGUUGACAUGAGCUCUUUGCAAUCUGAGUAAUACUAGUAUGUAUGUAUCUGGUAUGCAUCUGUACAAAAUUUUCUAGCUCUUGGUUUAGUGCAAAUUUUAGUUGUGAUUGUUUGUGAUAUUUUGAAUUAAGAAAGAACACAAACAGCGGUAAAACUCCGGCAUGGCGCAUGUGUGUUGCGGAAA